GGAGGCGGAGGCGGAGAAGAAGGCGGCGGCGGCGGGUGGAGGACCGAGCGCCGUCCUCGCUCCGGAGCCGCUUCUCAGCUCGACGCAUAGGCUCUGCGUUGAGUCGGCUGCUUCCGGGAAAGUUCUUUUUUUAAAGGCCUAAUAUAGUCUUAUUUUUUAUCAUGACCUGUUUGGACUUUCCUGGUGGCUCAGCUGGUAAAGAAUCUGCCUGCAGUGCAGGAGAACCCGGUUCAUUCCCAGUUUGGGGACAGUCCCCUGGAGAAGGGACUAGCAGCUCACUCCAGUAUUCUUGCCUGGAGAAUCCCCAAGGACAGGGGAGCCUGGUAGGCUGCAGUCCUUGGGGUCACAAAGAGUCUGACUGGGCUGAGUGACUUAACACUUUCACUUUUCUUUCUCAUUACUUUGGCUAGUAAUAUUUUUAUACAAUGUUAAAUAAUAGCAGUGAUAGUUCACAACUUGGUGGUGGUUUAGACUUUAAGGGGAUCUGAUGUUUUAGCAUCAAUUAUGAUGUUUACCGAAGCUUUCUGAUAAACGGAGAGUAUAAUAGGUUAAAAUAUUUUCUUGUAUUCUUAACUUUCCAAGUGAUUUUAUUGUUGUUUUUAACUUCUGAUAUUUAAAAAAAUCAUAAAUGGGUAUUGAAUUUUAUUGAUGUUUUUGAUACCUUUUGAGUAUUUGUAUAGGGGCAUCACCAUUAUUCCCUGGUUAGUAUUUUCCCAAAAGAGCUGUUUUUUUACAGAAUCAAUUUUAUUGAGGAUAAUUUACUUAUAAUAAAAUACAUAGAUUUAAAAUGUAUGGCUCCGUGUGUUUUGACAGAUGUAUACAGUCAUGUCACCACUACCACAAUCAAUAGUAGAAUAUUUUCGUUACUACAGUCAAGAUAGUGAAUCUUUCUC
ensembl:lncRNA